CCCGCACAAGCGGAGGAGCAUGUGGUUUAAUUCGAUGAUACGCGAGGAACCUUACCUGGGCUCGAACGUAAGAUGACUGUAGGUGAAAGCUUACAUCUCUUCGGAGCAUUUUACGAGGUGCUGCAUGGUUGUCGUCAGCUCGUGCCGUGAGGUGUCGGGUUAAGUCCCAUAACGAGCGCAACCCUACCUUUAGUUGCCAUCAGGUAAUGCUGGGGACUCUAAAGGAACUGCCUACGCAAGUAGUGAGGAAGGCGGAGAUGACGUCAAAUCAGCACGGCCCUUACGUCCAGGGCUACACACGUGCUACAAUGGCCGAUACAGAGGGCAGCUACCUGGUGACAGGAUGCAAAUCUCCAAAGUCGGUCUCAGUUCGGAUCGGAGUCUGCAACCCGACUCCGUGAAGUUGGAUUCGCUAGUAAUCGCGCAUCAGCCAUGGCGCGGUGAAUACGUUCCCGGGCCUU
rnacentral:rRNA from 1 species